GCAGUGAGCCGAAAUCACACCACUGCACUCCAGCCUGGGCUACGGGGUGAAAAUCCAUCUCAAAAAAAAAAAAAAAAAAAAAGUGAUCUUAAAGUUGGGAUGGGAGAAUAAGACAGUAAAUCAGCCCAAUCUUUUAUAGCAGCAUAUUCACUUCACUUAGAAAAAAUGACUUUAAUUGCACAGGGAUAGAUAAAAAGAUAUUUGAAUACCUUUCCUUGACAAGAUUCAGGGCUUUCAUGUAAGAAUAAAAUAUACAUUUAUAGUAAAUUUAGAUUGGAGUAGAAUUUAAAGCUCUUGUCCAUCAACAUGUAAUGAAUGAAUGUGACACUUGCAUAAUAGCAUUUUUUGGAGCACUGUUAGAAAGAGCAAGGGAGUCUUUGCAACGCUAAAGAAAAAACGAAAUUAAAAAAAUUUAAGGAUGUUUCACUUUCAAUAAAAAAAAAUCCUAGUCGAAAUAAGUUGGCAACUCCAUGUUCAGAAUCUGUGUUGUUUCUCUAAUGUUCAGGAAUGGUUAAGGCAGGAAAGAGAAUCUCAAGGUCACCAGGAAUAUUCCUUAGAGUAUUCUUAUAGGGCUUAUCUGUGCUCACAUGCCUAAUUUUUUUCCAAGUGCAAAAGAAUGGCCACUUGCUUGAGACAGGCCCAGUGCCAUCCUUUAUUCAAGUUCCUUUAUACUCCUCUUUUUAAAGAAGCUGUCAAGUUCUUUUUUUGCAGCUGACAGGAAAGGCCAAAUCUGUGGUACAGGAAAGGAGGCGCAAAAAAGAAACUUUUUUGUGUUGAUGUUUUACUAAGUGAGCUAAGGAGAAUUUUAGAAUCAUGCAAUUUACUCUGGAGGCAUUUACUGUACAUAGCUAUAGUGAUGGUAAUUUCUUUCAUUGUUGAAGUGAAAAGAUAACCAUCAAUCAGUUGUCAAUUGGUCAAUUGCAGAAGUGAUGAAAAGAAACUGGUAGGAACAAUCACUUCUGUGGCUACCUAGACCAUUUGGAGGCAUAAGAAAAGUAUGGGAACUGGAUUGCAUUUUAAAAAGGGAUUGGACCAGAUUUUCAAAAAGGUUAAUAGGCAUAACUUCCUUGUAAAGGAUGACUUUGCGGUUAUGCAUAAUCAGGAAAUGCAUUUUAAAAAUGAAAAAUUUAAAAGACAAUAAAAAGUUUAAAAGUAAAAAUUAUUUAUUUAACUGGAUCAGGUAAAUAAGCCCAGAAAAUCUUGAAUUUCAUUGUGUUCCUAAUGGAGGAAUAAAUAUAGUUUACUAAUAACCCAACACAUGUAUUUAAAACAAAUUAAUGAAAAUUACUUUGUACUCAUGCCUUAGGUUCUAAUCUUGGACACUUGGAAAUAAAAAACUUUUCAAGUAUUUACUAUGAGAAAUAGAACAUCCAAGCUAAUUGUGAACACUGUUUUUAAGCAGAUAUUUACAGAUAAUUUUAUUUUUUUGAACCUAUGGAAGUUUACAUAAAGGUUAAGAUAAGAACAGUUUAAAAAAUCAUUAACUUGCAUAAAAGGCAAAUGGCACUUAGGGACUUAGUGCUGUAAGCAAGAUUUCAUUUUAAUUUAUCCUAUUUUCCUAAGAAUGGCAAUGUUAUUGAUUUAUUCUGAGAGAGUUCCCCACACACAUAGUGAUUUUUUUUUUUUUACUGUGGUAGGUAAUAAAAAGGAUUACAGGCCCCCAGAAGGAUGAGAUAUCAUCAGUUUGUAAUCCAGCCCAUGGUUUCCUAGAUACCGUAUUGUCUAUUCUGUUCCGCUAUGUGAAAAAUGUUGAAUAUCAACAAUGGGUUUCAGUGCUGUAUUGUUGAGUUUUGUAUGAACUAAUCUAGCUUCCUUUAAAAAAAAAAAAAAAAGAAAGAAAGAAAAAAAAAGAAAGAAAGAAGAAAAGAAAGAAAAAAAAAGAAAAGAAAAGAAAAAAAGAAAGAACCACAGCUUUGGACAAAAGUCUAUAGCCAGUGCAUUUGAAACUCCCCUUGCACCAGGACUGACUGUAGCUGGGGGAAGACAUUUUACUCAUUUGCUCUUUCCUUUCAUACGGUCAGCUGGUCGCUCUUCUCAGGUGUACAUCACCUAUUAUAAUUUUACCUAAUUUUGAUACUGUGAUAAGGAAUGUCCCAGGACUUAUCAGCUGGGACAGGCCUCACUUACAAGACAGCUCUGUUCAGUAUUUGGAAGAAAGCCUGACAGGUUUCUUCGGAAAAGUGGCCAUCCAUGGAAUGAAUGAAAUGUUCUCUUUCUAUUCCAGGGAUUGCAGUGGCAAAGCUAGGCUAGGUCUUGGAAGCUGGUGUAAGGCGAUGCGGGUGAAGGCAGGAGGCUGAUGGAAAGACUGGGGGGAAGAAAAGCCGAAAUGGAUUCACGGUGCCUUGGAUGAAGGACGAGAGGGGAACUGCAAGCUCCUUCAACUGGUUCUGUCCGGUGAGAAGUGAUCAAGCUUGGGCUGACAAGAGGCUCAGGGAACCCUCACGUUCUUUCGCUUUUUUACCUGCCAAUCAAACUGCUACAAGACAACACCCUGAUCUGGCAUGGACAUCGCGGGUCCAAGCCUGUAGCCCCAAAUCGGAUAAUCUCUGCAGCUGAUAACAAGCAAAAGAGAAGCCAGGCAACAGCCAUAUUAAAGAAGAAAACAAUCAACUCUGAGAUCCAACUUAGAAAUAAUGUUUCAUUCAAGAUAAGGCUCGUGGUUUAGGAGAUUGUGACCUGGCUUGCAUCAUUCUAAGACUUCUACCAUCGGUUUUCAAAACCCAAGGAGGACCUCAUUCUCUGUGUGAUAGUUCCUCAUGCUUUGCCAGCCACUGGGUCUUUAAGGAAGCUUGCCAAGAGUUCCCAGCUGGGAAGGACAGUUCGAGUUCAUCAUAGACAGUGAGCUGGCACCACAGUUUAAGUGACUCACCAACCUGGUUGUCCACUUCAAAAUGUCAAGAACCACACUAUCUAAUUGAAAGAACUGUGUUUUAGCAAAGUGUAAUUGGAUCGCAUGGCAAGAUCAUCUCAAACUAUGUCUCUGACUUUGCCUUUCAGUGGCUGUUUGGAGCACAAGAGGAGAAAGGAAAUGAUUCCUGAAUUACACAUUGCUUUUAAAAAUUAAGAUUAAUUAGUGGCCGGGUGCGGUGGCUCAAGCCUGUAAUCCCAGC